UUAGAUAACAAUGAUACAGUCAGGGUUGGGGUCAACUCCAGUCAAUUCAAGUACACUGAAAUUCCAAUUUCAAUUUUCUUCAAUGCUAAACAUUCUAGUAAAUUCUUACUCAGAUAAAAUUCAGCUGAAGGAAAAAAAAAAGUGUUUUCAUCUCAACACUCCUGCCAAAUGACACAAUUACAAACACUGCUAAUUCUUUGGAGAGCAGAAAUUAACAUAGGACUUAACAUUUUUGGCAUUUAAAAAACAAAUAAAUAUUUUCUCCAAAAAAAGGUUAACUUCAAAUCCAGCCUUGAGGCUAAUUGCAUUAAUAUCACAAUGGCUGCCAUUGUUUUGCAAGAGCACGCUCAAUCUCUCCUGACCCUGGGCCGAAUCAAAUCACACCAUGGAGGAGAAUAAUGAGAGCCAAUUACGAUCUGAGCCUGUCGUCAAACCAGGCGACAAACUGGACCCCCCCACUGUGAUAGGAGGGUUCACAUUGCCCUGGCAACAAGUGCAGUGAGUAGCAUUAGUCAAAGAGAGCACCCGGGGAAGAGAAGUACUCUUCCCCUAAAUGUAUUUCCAUUCUAAUUACAUUUACGUCUCCAGCAGUGGGCCCAGACAGAGAUCAAUCAAGACUUUGUGAUGCUGAGAGACAUCUUUAAGGAGACAGACAUGACACCCUGAGAUCCCUGGGAAAACAAGGGAAUGAUGGAGAGGGAAGUGAGAGAAUAGAGGGACGAUAGAAAACGAGAGGUACGGAGAGAGAGAGAGAGAGAGAGGGGUACAGAGAGAGAAUAGAGGGAGACAUAGAGAGUACGAUAGAAAACGAGAGGUACGGAGAGAGAGAGAGGGGUACAGAGAGAGAAUAGAGGGAGACAUAGAGAGUACGAUAGAAAACUAGAGGUACGGAGAGAGAGAGGGGUACAGAGAGAGAAUAGAGGGAGACAUAGAGAGUACGAUAGAAAACUAGAGGUACGGAGAGAGAGAGAGGGGUACAGAGAGAGAAUAGAGGGAGACAUAGAGAGUACGAUAGAAAACUAGAGGUACGGAGAGAGAGAGAGGGGUACAGAGAGAGAAUAGAGGGAGACAUAGAGAGUACGAUAGAAAACUAGAGGUACGGAGAGAGAGAGAGGGGUACAGAGAGAGAAUAGAGGGAGACAUAGAGAGUACGAUAGAAAACUAGAGGUACGGAGAGAGAGAGGGGUACAGAGAGAGAAUAGAGGGAGACAUAGAGAGUACGAUAGAAAACUAGAGGUACGGAGAGAGAGAGAGGGGUACAGAGAGAGAAUAGAGGGAGACAUAGAGAGUACGAUAGAAAACUAGAGGUACGGAGAGAGAGAGAGGGGUACAGAGAGAGAAUAGAGGGAGACAUAGAGAGUACGAUAGAAAACUAGAGGUACGGAGAGAGAGAGAGGGAGAGGGGUACAGAGAGAGAAAGAGAGACAGAGAGCGAGAUAUAUGCAGGCAGAAAAAGAUAGAUUCAGAGAAAACCUGUUUGAGAGAGAAGGAGCAUGAUAGGCAGAGAGAGAACGAGAUCUAGGGUUCAGUAAGACUGAGAAGGAUCUGA